rnacentral:rRNA from 1 species
CUCCCGCCGGCGACCGGCGCACGGGUGAGUAACACGUAUGAAACCUGCCCGUAGCAGGGGGAUAAGCGGAAGAAAUUCCGUCUAAUACCGCGUAACAACCCGAGGAGGCAUCUCCUCGGGUUUAAAGGAAGCGAUUCCGGCUACGGAUGGUCAUGCGUCGCAUUAGCUAGCUGGCGGGGUAACGGCCCACCAAGGCGACGAUGCGUAGGGGUUCUGAGAGGAAGGUCCCCCACACUGGUACUGAGACACGGACCAGACUCCUACGGAAGGCAGCAG